CAAUAAUGUUAUUUUGGUUACCCUGGGAAACACAGAAACAACACCUGAUAGUGGCUGUCAUACCCAUUUGGAUGGACAGAUGAUUAUUUUCUCUUCUGUUCAGCAGAAAGUCUUCCAUCCCCUACUGUACCUGAAAUAACAGAGGUUCUUGUGAUCAUUAUCUUUAAGUAGCCAUUCACACAGAAGUGGCCUAUGUGCAUGGAAAUAUUCAGCCUCUACGGCACUUUAUUGAGAAAGAAAGUACUGGCUAAUCAAAACAAGAUAAAGAACAAAGACCGAAGAAGUACAAGAAGAAGGAAGAAGAAAUUCAGUCCUUAAUAAUGAGCUAACUGGAAGGUCCAUCUACAGGUUGUUGCCUUGCGUAUCAGAGAAAUGGAAUUUAAAUUACCAUAAGAGCAGUUAAUAAUCCCUGUGUACUCAAGACCUCUGUUUUUCAUGGGAUAUGAAGAGCGGAUAAUUGGAAUUUCUGCAGACAUCAGAAGAGAUUUUAAGUGUAAAGACAAGAUUGUUGUGCGUGGAAACACACAGCCCUAGAACCAGCCAUUGUGCCUUUCUGGGAGGAGAUUCUUCAGGACUUGCUUGAAAUCAUCUUGCUUGGAUUUGCAGGGCGUGUAUCUCCUGAAACAACUACAGCUUGAUUGAUAUUCUCUCCAAAAAGGAAAGAUUAUUCAUACCAUGUAGUGACACAAGGGCUCUGAAUGACAACAUUACUCAAGCGCUGCACUUCAGCUGCUUCACUGAGUGCUAUAGGACUUUCUGUCUAUUGGAUCACUGGACAUGUAAAAAUUACUUCGACAUUUGCUUUUGCCAGCAGAGGAGUCCAUUAAAUACAAUGAAUCUCUUUGCUCAUGUUAGGAAGAGGAUGAUAGAGAAGAUGACCCUUUCUAAAGUGAUCAUCACAACACACCCUAGGAAAACUUGUGUUACUGUAAACCCUGGAAGGAAUACAGCAGUGGACUGCUUACCUUAGUGAUGAUUUUUUAUUGUUGGUGUCAUCCAGGCAUUCAGGUGGGCAGUACUAAAUACUAAAGCAUUUAUGCGCUUUUACUUUGAGUCAUUAGGACAGACUCUGGAAAACAGAAAGCAAAUGCUAAACAGUUGCACUCUGUCAUGAGUCAAUUUCAGUUCUCAGCAUUAAACUUUAGAAAGAAUUUUUUUUCUUUUGAUUUCUUCUGGCUUUUGUAGGCAUAUUUAUUGUGUG
ensembl:lncRNA